GUUAGGUUAAGUGUGAGGCAGCAAAAAGUAAGUUUGUGUUUGCAGAUGGUUUCAGAGCAGUGAGAAACACCAGUUCUUUUUUUGGAGCCAAAUUUCUGAUCUCAUUGCAAGGCUCCUGUCAUGUGGACAGGGUGGGUGGAACUUCUGAUCUUUGGACCCACUGUAAAUAUUGAACAGUGGGCAGGGGCAACGCCGUGUCUCGAUCUUGUGGGAGGCACAGCAGGACUUCACCUUCCCUGUGCUGUGACUGUCCCCAAAGCAUGGGCAGAGCCACGAGGGAGCUGCUCAGCAGAUGGAAUUUCUGUUCAGGGCUCCUGCUUUGCUGGUAGGAAUGUUCUUGGGAGGCAAGAGCACACACGGGAGAACACGCUCCCUGCAUGGACCAUGCCCAGUGACCACGUUUGGACCAAAGGCCUGCAUGCUGCAGAAUCCUAAAACGAUUAUGUGAGUACUCAUCCCAGCAGGGCCACUGUGCUCCUUCUGUGGCAAAGAAAACCAC